rnacentral:rRNA from 1 species
GAUGAACGCUGGCGGCGUGCCUAAUACAUGCAAGUCGAGCGAACGGACGAGAAGCUUGCUUCUCUGAUGUUAGCGGCGGACGGGUGAGUAACACGUGGAUAACCUACCUAUAAGACUGGGAUAACUUCGGGAAACCGUAGCUAAUACCGGAUAAUAUUUUGAACCGCAUGGUUCAAAAGUGAAAGACGGUCUUGCUGUCACUUAUAGAUGGAUCCGCGCUGCAUUAGCUAGUUGGUAAGGUAACGGCUUACCAAGGCAACGAUGCAUAGCCGACCUGAGAGGGUGAUCGGCCACACUGGAACUGAGACACGGUCCAGACUCCUACGGGAGGCAGCAGUAGGGAAUCUUCCGCAAUGGGCGAAAGCCUGACGGAGCAACGCCGCGUGAGUGAUGAAGGUCUUCGGAUCGUAAAACUCUGUUAUUAGGUAAGAACAUAUGUGUAAGUAACUGUGCACAUCUUGACGGUACCUAAUCAGAAAGCCACGGCUAACUACGUG